rnacentral:rRNA from 1 species
ACACUCCUGCGGGAGGCAGCAGUGGGGAAUAUUGCACAAUGGGCGCAAGCCUGAUGCAGCCAUGCCGCGUGUAUGAAGAAGGCCUUCGGGUUGUAAAGUACUUUCAGCGGGGAGGAAGGCAAUACGGUUAAUAACCGUGUUGAUUGACGUUACCCGCAGAAGAAGCACCGGCUAACUCCGUGCCAGCAGCCGCGGUAAUACGGAGGGUGCAAGCGUUAAUCGGAAUUACUGGGCGUAAAGCGCACGCAGGCGGUCUGUCAAGUCGGAUGUGAAAUCCCCGGGCUCAACCUGGGAACUGCAUUCGAAACUGGCAGGCUUGAGUCGUGUAGAGGGGGGUAGAAUUCCAGGUGUAGCGGUGAAAUGCGUAGAGAUCUGGAGGAAUACCGGUGGCGAAGGCGGCCCCCUGGACAAAGACUGACGCUCAGGUGCGAAAGCGUGGGGAGCAAACAGGAUUAGAAACCCCGGUAGUCCCA